CCGUCAUAUCACGUUGAAGCACUGGUUCUCAUAUGAUCACUGAAGUUAAGCAACGUUGAAUCUGAUCAGUACUAGUUGAGUGACCGCUUGGGAAUGCCAGGUGCUGUAAG